UCUUAGCUUCAGAAGGGCUUCGAGGUAGCCA
rnacentral:piRNA from 1 species